GACGAACGCUGGCGGCGUGCCUAACACAUGCAAGUCGAACGGGGAGUUAUUUAUAACUCCUAGUGGCGAACGGGUGAGUAACGCGUAGACAACCUGCCUCUAAAUUGGGGACAACACCGCGAAAGUGGUGCUAAUACCGAAUGUGGUAACUUGGUCGCAAGACUAGGUUAAGAAAGAUGGCCUCUAUAUAUAAGCUAUCGAUUAGAGAUGGGUCUGCGUCUGAUUAGCUAGUAGGUGAGGUAAUGGCUCACCAAGGCGACGAUCAGUAGCCGGUCUGAGAGGAUGAACGGCCACACUGGGACUGAGACACGGCCCAGACUCCUACGGGAGGCAGCAGUGGGGAAUCUUCCGCAAUGGACGAAAGUCUGACGGAGCAACGCCGCGUGAGUGAAGAAGGUCUUCGGAUUGUAAAGCUCUGUCGUUUGGGACGAACGUGGAUUGUGUGAAUAAUGCAGUCUAAUGACGGUACCAAAGGAGGAAGCCACGGCUAACUACGUGCCAGCAGCCGCCGUAA
rnacentral:rRNA from 1 species